UUCGCCUCCCUUCCUGCAAGGGUAGGGGUGCAGCAGCAGCAGGCGGGGUCUAGGCACCGCGGCGUCUCCGUGGUGCUCUGAGCAGCGUCUGAAGUUUCUCGUGCCCGCCGUGGGUCCCCCUGGUCCCUGCUCUAGCUGCGGGGCUGAUGCCGCCCGAGGACACCUUAAAGGAGCCGCCCCUAGACAAGCCCCGCACGCCCAAGGCGGAGAGGCGCGCGCCGCGUGGCACGGGACCAGGCCGCCCAGGUCUCCCCGCAGCUUGAGAGGUGAAGCCCCAGCGUGUAACGCCACCGAAAGGAGGGAAAUUGGUGCUCAUUCACAGAACAAUGCAACAAAUUGUUAAAUGGAGGAUUGCAACAAUCAGCUUCAAAUCUAUCGCAUAAAUGAAGGGAAGUACAUGUGAAAUCUGUGAACAACCUACAUCCUUCAAAAGAGGCUAGCACAAAAAUUGGUUUAAAAAACCCCUUUAAACCCUCUGAAGCUCAAAGGCCUCUUUGGAUGACUUUGUGUUUAAGGAAUCAUAAACAAACCGAAAGCUGCCUACACCUGUUUUCCAAAGAGUUCACAACAAUAUAUUUAUGCAAAGGAAAUUCCUGCAAAUUAUUAUUAUUUUUCGUACACUAAAGGUUUUUUUUCAUAUUUGAAACUGUAAGGAGAUUUCUCGUUUUUGAGCUGCUUUUUAUUAAGAC